rnacentral:rRNA from 1 species
AUUGAACGCUGGCGGCAUGCCUUACACAUGCAAGUCGAACGGUAACAGGUCUUCGGAUGCUGACGAGUGGCGAACGGGUGAGUAAUACAUCGGAACGUGCCUAGAAGUGGGGGAUAACUACUCGAAAGAGUGGCUAAUACAGCAUGAGAUCUACGGAUGAAAGCAGGGGAGCGCAAGACCUUGUGCUACUAGAGCGGCCGAUGGCAGAGUAGGUAGUUGGUGGGAUAAAAGCUUACCAAGCCGACGAUCUGUAGCUGGUCUGAGAGGACGAUCAGCCACACUGGGACUGAGACACGGCCCAGACUCCUACGGGAGGCAGCAGUGGGGAAUUUUGGACAAUGGGCGCAAGCCUGAUCCAGCAAUGCCGCGUGCAGGAUGAAGGCCUUCGGGUUGUAAACUGCUUUUGUACGGAACGAAAAGCCCCGGGUUAAUACCCUGGGGUCAUGACGGUACCGUAGGAAUAAGCACCGGCUAACUACGUGCCAGCCGCCGCGGUAA